GUAAGUUUGGAGUGCCUGGGCUAAGAACUUCCAUUCUGAAACUUAACUCUUGCAAUCAAACUUUCUUUCAG
ensembl:ncRNA mir-2501 mir-2501 stem loop